rnacentral:rRNA from 1 species
CCAAAAAGACACGGCUCUAAGCGGUGGAUCACUCGGUUCUCGGGUCGAUGAAGAACGCAGCCAGCUGCGAUACUUGGUGUGAAUUGCAGGACACACUGAGCACUGAAUCUUUGAACGCACAUUGCGCCCUCGGGUUCGCCCGUGGGUUCGUCUGUCUGAGGGUCGUAUCAUAUAUCAAGUGAGCUG